UACGUAGGGUGCGAGCGUUUAAUCGGAAUUACUGGGCGUAAAGUGUGCGCAGGCGGCCAUGCAAGUCGAGUGUGAAAGCCCCGAGCUUAACUUGGGAAUUGCGCUCGAAACUACGUGGCUGGAGUGUGGCAGAGGAAGGUGGAAUUCCACGUGUAGCGGUGAAAUGCGUAGAGAUGUGGAGGAACACCAAUGGCGAAGGCAGCCUUCUGGGCCAACACUGACGCUCAUGCACGAAAGCGUGGGGAGCAAACAGG
rnacentral:rRNA from 1 species